rnacentral:rRNA from 1 species
UCACUGAAGGAGGGGUCCGCGUCCGAUUAGCUAGUUGGUAGGGUAAUGGCCUACCAAGGCGACGAUCGGUAGCCGGCCUGAGAGGGUGAUCGGCCACACUGGAACUGAGACACGGUCCAG